rnacentral:rRNA from 1 species
AUUGAACGCUGGCGGCAGGCUUAACACAUGCAAGUCGAGCGGGGGAGGUUGCUUCGGUAACUGACCUAGCGGCGGACGGGUGAGUAAUACUUAGGAAUCUGCCUAUUAAUGGGGGACAACAUCUCGAAAGGGAUGCUAAUACCGCAUACGCCCUACGGGGGAAAGCAGGGGAUCACUUGUGACCUUGGGUUAGUAGAUGAGCCUAAGUCGGAUUAGCUAGUUGGUGGGGUAAAGGCCUACCAAGGGGACGAUCUGUAGCGGGUCUGAGAGGAUGAUCCGCCACACUGGGACUGAGGCACGGCCCAGACUCCUACGGGAGGCAGCAGUGGGGAAUAUUGGACAAUGGGGGGAACCCUGAUCCAGCCAUGCCGCGUGUGUGAAGAAGGCCUUAUGGUUGUAAAGCACUUUAAGCGAGGAGGAGGCUCUUUUGGUUAAUACCCAAGAUGAGUGGACGUUACUCGCAGAAUAAGCACCGGCUAACUCUGUGCCAGCCGCCGCAGUAAUAC